AUCCUCAUUUAAAUUAACUACAGAUUGUCUUGCAUGAUUCACAUUGGUGCUUAGAAAUAUUUGUACAUCAUCGGCAUACAUGUGCACACUGCUAUGGAUUAUUUGGCUGGGAAGAUCAUUUGCAUACAUACUGAAAAGAAGAGGACCUACUAUAGAGCCCUGAUGGACGCCCUUACAUAUAGCCAAUGGUGUUUAGGUGGACCAUCCAGAGUAUACCGAUUGUGAGCGGUUGGACAAGUAAGAUUUUAUAAGAUUAGUCGAAGUGUUGGAAAAUUCAACAGAUGCCGUAGUGUGAUGCAAAGGUUAAUGUGAUCGACAGUGUCAAAGGCUUUCGAGUGGUCUAAUAAGACAAGGAAAUAAAUAAUUGAUAUGUUUGCUUACUCUCCUUCGGGUAAGCGAAAUUCCUCAUAUAGUUCUAGAGUUUUAUACCGUUUCCCCCUUUUAUAAGCUUUGUCUCUAUCAGCAAUAAACGCUUUGAUAGUCGAGUUGAACCAAGGUUUAUUUCUAAUAUCAAUACGUUUAGUCUUUAGUGGAACCAUAUCAUUAUAAAUUAUAUAUUGCAUCCCAAUUAAGGAUGCAACAUUUAUUCUCCAAAACUAAAUGGUCCAGUCUAUUGUAAUCACGGAAUGAAUAAACUUGUUCAAGAGGCGAAAUAUUAAAUUUGUAUAUAAGAAAAAUCAGGUCAUGUUUAGAAAAACAUGACGCUGAAAUUUGAUCGUAUAAGAGAAUAUUAUGGGGAUUAUUAACAAAAAAUAAAUCCAGAAGCGUAUUAGUAUUUAAGGAGAAGUGAGUAGGACGAGAAUUGUUUGAUACGUCCAGGCCUAACGUAAUCAUAUUGUUUGUCAAUGUAGUAUCAGUAAGUUUAAAUUGAAAUCGCCUGUGAAAAUAACUUCAUGAAAACCAAGAGUUAGGUCUUGAUGUAUAUUUUGAAGGUUUGCAAAAUCAAUAUUAUUAUUAGGUCGAUAUAUACAACCAAUUAACAUAUUUGUAUUACUAGCCUCAAUUUCCUCACCACAUUCCGACUUUGUAAUGAAUUUUACGUUAAUAUGGUUUUUUGUAAAAAUAGCAACGCCUCUUCCAAGACGUUCUCUGUCUGACCUUUUAAAUUGAUUAAGGUAUCUGCUAUGGUAGAGUUUAGAUAAGUCUCGGAGACACAUACAAUAUCAAAUAAGUACUUGAAUUCGUCAACUUUGUUCACAAUACUCUGUGCAUUAAUAUGACAAAUUUUAAUGUCUUCUCUUUGCUUUGUUAGAAUUCUCAAUAGAUUGUAUGUUACGUCCCUGGAAUUAGUUUCUUGUCUA
rnacentral:sRNA from 1 species